UUGUCCAGGGUGGUUGUGGAAUCUCCAUCAUUGGAGAUUUUAAAGAACAGGUUAGACAAACACCUGUCAAGGAUGGUCUAGACAAUAUUUAGUCCUGCCUUCAGUGCAGGGGACUGGACUACGUGACCUCUUGAGGCUCCUUCCAGUCUUACGAUUCUAUGAUUCCUGGGGCAGGGCUGUAGAUAGGUGAGAUAUGCAGAGGUGAAUGAUUUAAGGGCAAGGUCAAGAGGGAGGAGUAGAGAAUGGAGGUAAGAAAAAACAAAAAUGUUAAUGACAAUCAUUACCCCAUUGCUCUCAUUGAUCUGUUUCUGUAUCUUGUUCUGCUCCCUGUAGAUCUUGCCUGAAGUUGACUGAGAUAUUGUCCCUUCUGUGGCAAUAGUAAUAUCACAGUGUGGUCAAUAGCCAUUGCUCCAAUGCACAGUGUACAUAAAUAUUCAGGGAAGGAACUGAUAACAGUAUCUCUUGCAUCUUCACUGAAACAAAUGUACUCCACCUUCCAAACUGAUUACCACCUAAUUUCCUGGCAUGAAGAGUUCGUAGCAUAACCACCACAAGAACAACACAGAGAGAGAUUGCUCCAUGAGAUAACUUGCUGAAUGUGACCUAAGGUAGUGCUGUCUUGCUGAGUCUGCAGACAGAAAGCUCACAAUCAUGUUAUUAACAUUUGUCCCUAGUGCCAUAAUAUCUUGUGUGUUCUGCAAAUCCAAGGUGGUGAAAUUAUGCCCUGGAAUCCACUCCUUGCUGCAGAACUGUGCUUCAGAAUCUUACAUGGAAAAACAUCAAAUCUCUGUGGCCCUUUUGGUAGCAAAGACAACUCUACAAAUAAGAGCUGAGUGUAAAUGUUUGCAGUGCUGUCUUCUAAUCCUGAGGCUACGUUCUAAACUAGUGGUGCUCAGACAUGUGAGCUACCCCAUUCAGCCAACGGUGACAAUGUAAAUGUCAUCUCAACAAUUGUACUUUAAUAGUCAAAAUAAAUAGCAGGAGCUACAACAUGGCAAAGAGCUGUGGAAGCUGAGCUGAAAAAUCUGGGGCACAGCUGGGGACCCAUUGAAAGAUUGCCAGAAACAGACAGGAGUGGAGGAACUUUACCACUGCCCUAAAUGCCAGAGGUAUAAUAGGAACAUGACAACGAUGACGACUGUGGAAAAUCCAGGGGUGGAGUACUCUCAGCGAAUCCUUCCAGGUGACCAUUCCUUCACGCGCCAGGCGAGCCCCAGUAUGGAGCAAUGGCAAGGUGCUGGACCUCAUCAGUGUUUGUGGGGAGGAAGCUGUCCAGUCCCAACUGCACUCCAGCUUCAGGAAUUACGAUACCUUCGAGCAGAUAUCAAGGGCCAUGUUGGAAAGGGGCCAUGACCGGGAUGCUCUGCAGUGCAGAGUUAAAGUGAAGGCGCUGCAGAAUGCCUACUGCAAAGCCUGCAAGGCAAACUGCCACUCCGGUGCUGGCCCCGCGACCUGCUGUUUCUACAAAGAGCUGGACGCGAUACUUGGGGGGCGACCCCACCUCCACUCUGGGGACCACCAUGGACACCACAGAGCCCAGUCCAACAAGGCAGGAGGAGGAG